GCACCAGCUUGCUGGUGUGGAUGAGUGGCGAACGGGUGAGUAAUACGUGAGUAACCUGCCCUUGACUCUGGGAUAAGCCCGGGAAACUGGGUCUAAUACUGGAUGCUACAUGUCACCGCAUGGUGGUGUGUGGAAAGGGUUUACUGGUCUUGGAUGGGCUCACGGCCUAUCAGCUUGUUGGUGAGGUAAUGGCUCACCAAGGCGACGACGGGUAGCCGGCCUGAGAGGGUGACCGGCCACACUGGGACUGAGACACGGCCCAGACUCCUACGGGAGGCAGCAGUGGGGAAUAUUGCACAAUGGGCGAAAGCCUGAUGCAGCGACGCCGCGUGAGGGAUGACGGCCUUCGGGUUGUAAACCUCUUUCAGCAGGGAAGAAGCCACAAGUGACGGUACCUGCAGAAGAAGCGCCGGCUAACUACGUGCCAGCAGCCGCGGUAAUACGUAGGGCGCAAGCGUUGUCCGGAAUUAUUGGGCGUAAAGAGCUCGUAGGCGGUUUGUCGCGUCUGCUGUGAAAGCCCGGGGCUUAACCCCGGGUGUGCAGUGGGUACGGGCAGACUAGAGUGCAGUAGGGGAGACUGGAAUUCCUGGUGUAGCGGUGGAAUGCGCAGAUAUCAGGAGGAACACCGAUGGCGAAGGCAGGUCUCUGGGCUGUUACUGACGCUGAGGAGCGAAAGCAUGGGGAGCGAACAGGAUUAGAUACCCUGGUAGUCCAUGCCGUAAACGUUGGGCACUAGGUGUGGGGGACAUUCCACGUUUUCCGCGCCGUAGCUAACGCAUUAAGUGCCCCGCCUGGGGAGUACGGCCGCAAGGCUAAAACUCAAAGGAAUUGACGGGGGCCCGCACAAGCGGCGGAGCAUGCGGAUUAAUUCGAUGCAACGCGAAGAACCUUACCAAGGCUUGACAUAUACCCG
rnacentral:rRNA from 1 species